UACGAAGGGGGCUAGCGUUGCUCGGAAUCACUGGGCGUAAAGCGCACGUAGGCGGACUCUUAAGUCGGUGGUGAAAUCCUGGAGCUCAACUCCAGAACUGCCUUCGAUACUGGGAGUCUUGAGUCCGGGAGAGGUGAGUGGAACUGCGAGUGUAGAGGUGAAAUUCGUAGAUAUUCGCAAGAACACCAGUGGCGAAGGCGGCUCACUGGCCCGAUACUGACGCUGAGGUGCGAAAGCGUGGGGAGCAAACAGG
rnacentral:rRNA from 1 species